rnacentral:lncRNA from 1 species
GUACAAUAGAGCUUAUAGGCUAAUGAGAAGACAGGAAGAAACAACAGGAACACAUAUAGCUGGAAUGCAGAUGGGAUCUGUGCUACUUACGCUAGCCAUGGGAUGAUUAGAACAAGAUAAGAGACAUGAGGAAGACUUCUUCAAGGAGGUGCUCAAGCCAUGUUUUGGAAAAGAGAACUCAAGGUCUGGCAGGGAGAAAGGAGCAAGACUGCCUGGCAGCUCUUUAGAAAGUUGUGUGACGUAUGAACCAGUUCUUCCCUAUAUGAGAGUGUACCGUACAUCGCAGGCUGUCCAGCAUCGACCCCACUGAUGGAUGCUAGUAGUCCUCCCCGCCAGCACUCAACAUUGUGACAGUCAAAAACAUCCUCUCUACAUUUUCAAUGCCCCUGUUGGGGUAGCAGGACUCCCACUGAGAGACCCCAGUAGAGAUGGAAGACUGAAGAAACCUAAUCCUAGGUGCUGCCACUGGGACAAACAAGAAGCACCAGACACAGUGCUGUUUUAGGGUGGGGCAGAAUUAUGCUGAGGGAAAAGUUAUUAUCACUCUUUAAGGCCAAGGAAACCACAAUUUUUAAAGAAGCUUCUAGAAAUUCUACCCAGUAGAAAAUAAAGAUAAACUUCUGUAAGGAAUUUCAUUCUUUUCAGAAUUCGCAAUCUGAAAUGUAGAAGCCCAUUCCUUCAUGGUUCUCAUAGAUAUUUAGUGUGACUGAGGGGUCAGUGGACUCAUAGCACUCAGGCCAGGCUUCUCCUGAGUCCCUUUCUUUGGCACAGAGGGAGUGAUUCACAGAUCCUCUACCCCCAAAGGCAUUGUUUCCUCAUCUCAACAAGAAUCCAGCACCCGUCAUUUUAUCAGCACACGUCACUAGCUUCUCAAGUGAGACUACUCUGAAGUGAUCUGUGUUUGAAGAAUGCCUUUCCCUUUCCCUUACGUAACUAAGAGGAUGAAAAAGGACACUCACUCCCUAUAUGAAAGCUGUGUAUUGUAAGCAGUCAUCUUGCCUGGCUGAGAACUCUAGGAUCUUUUUCUCUGCUCUCCUUUAGGCUGACACUCAUAGCCAGACCUUCUGUUUAUUAGCCCCCUGAAUCUAUUUGAAAAUAUUUUUGCUUUCAUUAUAAUAUAAGUCACAUUCUUCUUGCAUCUGCCGCUGCAUUUUCCAAAAGGGUUAUGUCAAGGGAAAUUCAACACUCACUUUUCUCAUUAUUUGCUUACCAGCUUGCUCACUCAUCAAAAUACCAGAGUUAUUUGAUACUUCAGAAGAUUAUUUCCCCCUUUAGAUGAUGUGUCAAGGGAAGGGGAGCUGGCCCCAGUAUCAGGUGACAGAAUUUUCUUCGCAUUUCUACUGUUGACUCAAUAAAUGCCCUUGGGCAAGUCAUGGA